GAUGAACGCUGGCGGCGUGCCUAAUACAUGCAAGUCGAGCGAACAGACGAGGAGCUUGCUCCUCUGACGUUAGCGGCGGACGGGUGAGUAACACGUGGAUAACCUACCUAUAAGACUGGGAUAACUUCGGGAAACCGGAGCUAAUACCGGAUAAUAUAUUGAACCGCAUGGUUCAAUAGUGAAAGACGGUUUUGCUGUCACUUAUAGAUGGAUCCGCGCCGCAUUAGCUAGUUGGUAAGGUAACGGCUUACCAAGGCAACGAUGCGUAGCCGACCUGAGAGGGUGAUCGGCCACACUGGAACUGAGACACGGUCCAGACUCCUACGGGAGGCAGCAGUGGGGAAUCUUCCGCAAUGGGCGAAAGCCUGACGGGGCAACGCCGCGUGAGUGAUGAAGGUCUUCGGAUCGUAAAACUCUGUUAUUAGGGAAGAACAAAUGUGUAAGUAACUAUGCACGUCUUGACGGUACCUAAUCAGAAAGCCACGGCUAACUACGUG
rnacentral:rRNA from 1 species